UUGGAAGAUCACGUUCGUGCUCAUCAUCAGUCAUCAAGCUCGGAAAAUCUACAGGUACGAUUUUUGGUAGCAUCAUUGGCGCCGUCUGUGGGAAGCGCUACCAAAAGCCAUGGUAAACACACGUUCAGGUCUUCCACCAGCAAGCUCAUCCGCUCCAAACCAACCCCCUCCUGAGGAUAUCCCUGUUCCUCAAGAGGAAUCAUCAGAAGUGCCAGAGCCCCAGCCGGCGGUCGUCACUGCUGGAGCCUUUGAAGAGCUCAGACAACAGGUCGCCACACUGACUCAGCUGCUAAGUCAAAGAAAUUCGCAUCCGUCACCUACACCAGCACCCCAGGGGGGUUUUAUGGCUGAUGCUCGAGCUCGAGCUCAAACACAUGCCCCUGACAAUGGCGGAGCAGGGGCCUCGGGUAUACCACAUGUGACCUCGGCCUCGAGAUCAGUGACCAUGGAUUCCGGAGAACUCGCUAGAAUUAUUCAAGAAGGAAUUACGGCGGGCCUACUUCAGGGCAACAAAGGGACGACAAGAUUCAGUCCCAACACUCCAUUUACUUCCGAAAUAUUAACAUUCCCCUUACCAGACAGAUUUAAGUAUCCUAGGAUCAAAGAAUAUGAUGGGACCACCGAUCCAAUCAAUCAUCUGAACAUAUACACGGACGUCAUGCAAAUCUCGAGGAUGGAUCCCGAGGACGGGCAACAAGUCAGACUUGCUCCUGUCGAAGAAUUGAUGGAAAUUGAGCUCGAGCAUGAUAAGAAGGUGACGAUUGGUCGGGAUCUUGACGUCACCCUGAAGACAGAACUUGUUAAUUGUUUAUCUCGCAACAUUGACGUUUUUGCCUGGAAGGUUGAGGAUAUGUCAGGGAUAGACCCUAAAAUUGCAGUCCAUAGGCUUAACAUUAGCCCAGGAGCUAGACCAGUAAAGCAGAGGAAAAGGCAGUUUGCCCCAGAACGACGGGAGGUUAUUCGCGAAGAAAUUAACAAACUCGUCAGCGCUCAAUUUAUUCGGGAGGUCCAAUAUCUCGAUUGGCUUGCCAAUGUUGUUUUAGUAAAGAAGGCCAAUGGUAAGUGGAGGAUCUGCAUGGACUUCACAGAUCUUAACAAAGCAUGUCCAAAGGAUAGUUAUCCCCUACCACGGAUUGACAACUUGGUGGAUAGCACGUCCGGACAUAAGUUGUACAGCUUCCUGGAUGCGUUUUCUGGUUAUCAUCAAAUCCUCAUGGCCGAAGAAGAUCAAGAAAAGACAUCAUUCAUGGCCGACUCCGCCAUAUACUGUUAUAAGGUCAUGCCUUUCGGUUUGAAGAAUGCAGGGGCAACAUACCAAAGACUCAUCAACAAAGUCUUUGCUAACUUGAUUGGAAGGAAUGUGGAGGCGUACGUUGAUGACAUGGUGGUGAAGAGCAAGCAGGUUGACCAACAUAUUUCAGACCUUGAAGAAGUGUUCAACACCUUGCGAAAGUACGGAAUGAAGUUGAACCCCGCGAAAUGUGCAUUCGGCGUAGCCUCGGGCAAGUUCUUGGGUUUUAUGAUCACUCAUCGGGGGACAGAGGCCAACCCUGACAAAAUACAAGCCUUGGCAUCUAUGGAAUCACCAAGGAACAAGAAAGAGGUACAGAGGUUGAC
rnacentral:lncRNA from 1 species